ACUCCUGUGGCCUAAUGGAUAUGGCGUUGGUCUCCGGAGCCAAAGAUUGUGGGUUCGAGUCCUGCCAGGAGCA
rnacentral:tRNA from 1 species